GACGAACGCUGGCGGCGUGCUUAACACAUGCAAGUCGAACGGAAAGGCCCCUUUGGGGGUACUCGAGUGGCGAACGGGUGCGUAACACGUGAGUAACCUGCCCUUGACUUCGGGAUAACUUCAGGAAACUGGGGCUAAUACCGGAUAGGAAUCCUUGCUGCAUGGUGGGGGUUGGAAAGCUUCGGCGGUUUUGGAUGGACUCGCGGCUUAUCAGCUUGUUGGUGGGGUAGUGGCUUACCAAGGCUUUGACGGGUAGCCGGCCUGAGAGGGCGACCGGCCACAUUGGGACUGAGAUACGGCCCAGACUCCUACGGGAGGCAGCAGUGGGGAAUAUUGCACAAUGGGCGGAAGCCUGAUGCAGCAACGCCGCGUGCGGGAUGACGGCCUUCGGGUUGUAAACCGCUUUCAGCAGGGGCGAAGCUUGUGGUGACGGUACCUGCAAAAGAAGCACCGGCUAACUACGUG
rnacentral:rRNA from 1 species